rnacentral:rRNA from 1 species
GGGCAUUUCAUUUUAAGUCCUGGGAUGGGGGUAAAAACUCCAUCCCAUGCUGUUCAACCCUUUGUCUUUUGCGUACUGUAUGUUUCCUCGGCGGGUUCGCCCGCCGAUAGGACACUUCAAAACCUUUUGUAAUUGCAAUCAGCGUCAGAAAAACUAUAAUAGUUACAACUUUCAACAACGGAUCUCUUGGUUCUGGCAUCGAUGAAGAACGCAGCGAAAUGCGAAAAGUAGUGUGAAUUGCAGAAUUCAGUGAAUCAUCGAAUCUUUGAACGCACAUUGCGCCCCUUGGUAUUCCAUGGGGCAUGCCUGUUCGAGCGUCAUUUGUACCCUCAAGCUCUGCUUGGUGUUGGGUGUUUGUCCCGCCUUCGCACGUGGACUCGCCUUAAAGUGAUUGGCAGCCGGAAUAAUUCUGGGGAACGCAGCACAACUGCAGCCUCCAUUUUACGCCGAGCGUCCAGUAAGCCUUUUUUCAACGUUUGACCUCGGAUCAGGUAGGGAUACCCGCUGAACUUAAGCAUAUCAAGCGGGGGAAGAAA